UACGAACCGUGCGAACGUUGUUCGGAAUCACUGGGCUUAAAGGGCGCGUAGGCGGGUUCGCAAGUCUGUGGUGAAAGCCUCCAGCUUAACUGGAGAAGUGCCGUGGAUACUGCGAAUCUUGAGGAGGGUAGGGGCGUCUGGAACGGUCGGUGGAGCGGUGAAAUGCGUUGAUAUCGACCGGAACUCCGGUGGCGAAGGCGAGGCGCUGGACCCUUUCUGACGCUGAGGCGCGAAAGCCAGGGGAGCAAACGGG
rnacentral:rRNA from 1 species